UACAGAGGGUGCGAGCGUUAAUCGGAAUUACUGGGCGUAAAGCGCACGUAGGCGGCUUGGUAUGUCGGGUGUGAAAUCCCCGGGCUCAACCUGGGAACUGCAUCCGAAACUGCGUUGCUGGAGUACGGAAGAGGAAGGCGGAAUUCCCGGUGUAGCGGUGAAAUGCGUAGAUAUCGGGAGGAACAUCAGUGGCGAAGGCGGCCUUCUGGUCCAGUACUGACACUCAAGUGCGAAAGCGUGGGGAGCAAACAGG
rnacentral:rRNA from 1 species